AGUGAACGCUGGCGGUAGGCCUAACACAUGCAAGUCGAACGGCAGCACAGUAAGAGCUUGCUCUUACGGGUGGCGAGUGGCGGACGGGUGAGGAAUACAUCGGAAUCUACUUUUUCGUGGGGGAUAACGUAGGGAAACUUACGCUAAUACCGCAUACGACCUACGGGUGAAAGCAGGGGAUCUUCGGACCUUGCGCGAUUGAAUGAGCCGAUGUCGGAUUAGCUAGUUGGCGGGGUAAAGGCCCACCAAGGCGACGAUCCGUAGCUGGUCUGAGAGGAUGAUCAGCCACACUGGAACUGAGUCACGGUCCAGACUCCUACGGGAGGCAGCAGUGGGGAAUAUUGGACAAUGGGCGCAAGCCUGAUCCAGCCAUACCGCGUGGGUGAAGAAGGCCUUCGGGUUGUAAAGCCCUUUUGUUGGGAAAGAAAAGCAGCAGGUUAAUACCCCGCUGUUCUGACGGUACCCAAGGAAUAAGCACCGGCUAACUUCGUG
rnacentral:rRNA from 1 species